UACGGGGGGAGCAAGCGUUGUUCGGAUUUACUGGGCGUAAAGGGCGCGUAGGCGGCCAGCACAAGUCAGUUGUGAAAUCUCCGGGCUUAACCCGGAACUGCCAUUGAUACUAUUUGUCUUGAAUACUGUGGAGGUCAGCGGAAUAUGUCAUGUAGCGGUGAAAUGCUUAGAUAUGACAUAGAACACCAAUUGCGAAGGCAGCUGGCUACACAAUUAUUGACACUGAGGCACGAAAGCGUGGGGAUCAAACAGG
rnacentral:rRNA from 1 species